CCUACGGGAGGCAGCAGUAGGGAAUCUUCCACAAUGGGCGAAAGCCUGAUGGAGCAACGCCGCGUGGGUGAAGAAGGUCUUCGGAUCGUAAAACCCUGUUGUUAGAGAAGAAAGUGCGUGCGAGUAACUGUUCACGUUUCGACGGUAUCUAACCAGAAAGCCCCGGCUAACUACGUGCCAGCAGCCGCGGUAAUACGUAGGUGGCAAGCGUUAUCCGGAUUUAUUGGGCGUAAGGGGAACGCAGGCGGUCUUUUAAGUCUGAUGUGAAAGCCUACGGCUUAACCGGAGUAGUGCAUUGGAAACUGGGAGACUUGAGUGCAGAAGAGGAGAGUGGAACUCCAUGUGUAGCGGUGAAAUGCGUAGAUAUAUGGAAGAACACCAGUGGCGAAAGCGGCUCUCUGGGCUGUAACUGACGCUGAGGUUCGAAAGCGUGGGUAGCAAACAGGAUUAGAUACCCCAGUAGUC
rnacentral:rRNA from 1 species